UACGAGGGGUGCAAGCGUUAAUCGGAAUUACUGGGCGUAAAGCGCGCGUAGGCGGCUGAGUAAGUCGAUUGUGAAAUCCCCGGGCUCAACCUGGGAACUGCAUCUGUGACUGCAUAGCUAGAGUACGGUAGAGGGGGAUGGAAUUCCGCGUGUAGCAGUGAAAUGCGUAGAUAUGCGGAGGAACACCGAUGGCGAAGGCAAUCCCCUGGACCUGUACUGACGCUCAUGCACGAAAGCGUGGGGGAGCAAACAGG
rnacentral:rRNA from 1 species